rnacentral:tRNA from 1 species
CACUCAUAACCUCCUAAUGCAACAGCACUAGCCUUUUAAGCUAGAGAAAGAGGAUCGCCCAUCCCUCCUUAAUGA